rnacentral:rRNA from 1 species
UACGUAGGUGGCAAGCGUUGUCCGUAUUUACUGGGCGUAAAGGGAGCGUAGGCGGAUUUUUAAGUGAGAUGUGAAAUACCCGGGCUUAACUUGGGUGCUGCAUUUCAAACUGGAAGUCUAGAGUGUAGGAGAGGAGAAGGGAAUUCCUAGUGUAGCGGUGAAAUGCGUAGAGAUUAGGAAGAACACCAGUGGCGAAGGCGCUUCUCUGGACUGUAACUGACGCUGAGGCUCGAAAGCGUGGGGAGCAAACAGGAUUAGAUACCCUGGUAGUCCCU